rnacentral:rRNA from 1 species
UACGUAGGGUGCAAGCGUUUAUCUGGAAUUAUUGGGCGUAAAGAGCUCGUAGGCGGUUUGUCGCGUCUGCUGUGAAAACUGGAGGCUCAACCUCCAGCCUGCAGUGGGUACGGGCAGACUAGAGUGCGGUAGGGGGAGAUUGGAAUUCCUGGUGUAGCGGUGGAAUGCGCAGACUAUCAGGAGGAACACCAAUGGCGAAGGGCAGAUCUCUGGGCCGUAACUGACGCUGAGGAGCGAAAGCAUGGGGAGCGAACAGG